rnacentral:tRNA from 1 species
GGUCGGGUGGCCGAGCGGUCAGGCAGAGGUCUGCAAAACCUUGUACAGCGGUUCGAUUCCGCUUCCGACCU